GGUACCGUCAAUCGAGUGCCCUAUUCGAACACUCGGGAUUCUUCCCCUCUGACAGUGGUUUACACCCCGAAAGGCUUCCUCCCACACGCGGCGUCGCUGCGUCAGUCUUUCGACCAUUGCGCAAUAUUCCCCA
rnacentral:rRNA from 1 species